rnacentral:rRNA from 1 species
CCUACGGGGUGCAGCAGUGGGGAAUAUUGGGCAAUGGACGCAAGCCUGACCCAGCAACGCCGCGUGAAGGAAGAAGGCUUUCGGGUUGUAAACUUCUUUUCUCAGGGACGAAGAAAGUGACGGUACCUGAGGAAUAAGCCACGGCUAACUACGUGCCAGCAGCCGCGGUAAUACGUAGGUGGCAAGCGUUAUCCGGAUUUAUUGGGUUUAAAGGGUGCGCAGGCGGGAGAUCAAGUCAGCGGUAAAAUGUCGGGGCUCAACCCCGGCCGGCCGUUGAAACUGGUUUUCUAGAGUUGGAGAGAAGUAUGCGGAAUUCGUGGUGUAGCGGUGAAAUGCAUAGAUAUCACGAAGAACUCCGAUUGCGAAGGCAGCAUACCGGCUCCAUACUGACGCUGAGGCACGAAAGCGUGGGGAUCGAACAGGAUUAGAUACCCGAGUAGUC